GAGGGUAUAGCUCAGUGGUAGAGUGCGUGCUUAGCAUGCAUGAGGUCCUGGGUCCAAUCCCCAGUGCCUCCA
rnacentral:tRNA from 1 species